UUAAGUUAUUAAGGGCGCACGGUGGAUGCCUUGGCACUAGAAGCCGAUGAAGGACGUUACUAACGACGAUAUGCUUUGGGGAGCUGUAAGUAAGCUUUGAUCCAGAGAUUUCCGAAUGGGGAAACCCAGCAUGAGUUAUGUCAUGUUAUCGAUAUGUGAAUACAUAGCAUAUCAGAAGGCACACCCGGAGAACUGAAACAUCUUAGUACCCGGAGGAAGAGAAAAGAAAAUUCGAUUCCCUUAGUAGCGGCGAGCGAAAACGGGAAGAGCCCAAACCAACAAGCUUGCUUGUUGGGGUUGUAGGACACUCUAUACGGAGUUACAAAAGACGACAUUAGACGAAUCAUCUGGAAAGAUGAAUCAAAGAAGGUAAUAAUCCUGUAGUCGAAAAUGUUGUCUCUCUUGAGUGGAUCCUGAGUACGACGGAGCACGUGAAAUUCCGUCGGAAUCUGGGAGGACCAUCUCCUAAGGCUAAAUACUCUCUAGUGACCGAUAGUGAACCAGUACCGUGAGGGAAAGGUGAAAAGCACCCCGGAAGGGGAGUGAAAUAGAACCUGAAACCGUGUGCUCACAAGUAGUCAGAGCCCGUUAAUGGGUGAUGGCGUGCCUUUUGUAGAAUGAACCGGCGAGUUACGAUUUGAUGCAAGGUUAAGCAGUAAAUGUGGAGCCGUAGCGAAAGCGAGUCUGAAUAGGGCGUUUAGUAUUUGGUCGUAGACCCGAAACCAGGUGAUCUACCCUUGGUCAGGUUGAAGUUCAGGUAACACUGAAUGGAGGACCGAACCGACUUACGUUGAAAAGUGAGCGGAUGAACUGAGGGUAGCGGAGAAAUUCCAAUCGAACCUGGAGAUAGCUGGUUCUCUCCGAAAUAGCUUUAGGGCUAGCCUCAAGUGAUGAUUAUUGGAGGUAGAGCACUGUUUGGACGAGGGGCCCCUCUCGGGUUACCGAAUUCAGACAAACUCCGAAUGCCAAUUAAUUUAACUUGGGAGUCAGAACAUGGGUGAUAAGGUCCGUGUUCGAAAGGGAAACAGCCCAGACCACCAGCUAAGGUCCCAAAAUAUAUGUUAAGUGGAAAAGGAUGUGGCGUUGCCCAGACAACUAGGAUGUUGGCUUAGAAGCAGCCAUCAUUUAAAGAGUGCGUAAUAGCUCACUAGUCGAGUGACACUGCGCCGAAAAUGUACCGGGGCUAAACAUAUUACCGAAGCUGUGGAUUGUCCUUUGGACAAUGGUAGGAGAGCGUUCUAAGGGCGUUGAAGCAUGAUCGUAAGGACAUGUGGAGCGCUUAGAAGUGAGAAUGCCGGUGUGAGUAGCGAAAGACGGGUGAGAAUCCCGUCCACCGAUUGACUAAGGUUUCCAGAGGAAGGCUCGUCCGCUCUGGGUUAGUCGGGUCCUAAGCUGAGGCCGACAGGCGUAGGCGAUGGAUAACAGGUUGAUAUUCCUGUACCACCUAUAAUCGUUUUAAUCGAUGGGGGACGCAGUAGGAUAGGCGAAGCGUGCGAUUGGAUUGCACGUCUAAGCAGUAAGGCUGAGUAUUAGGCAAAUCCGGUACUCAUUAAGGCUGAGCUGUGAUGGGGAGAAGACAUUGUGUCUUCGAGUCGUUGAUUUCACACUGCCGAGAAAAGCCUCUAGAUAGAAAAUAGGUGCCCGUACCGCAAACCGACACAGGUAGUCAAGAUGAGAAUUCUAAGGUGAGCGAGCGAACUCUCGUUAAGGAACUCGGCAAAAUGACCCCGUAACUUCGGGAGAAGGGGUGCUCUUUAGGGUUAACGCCCAGAAGAGCCGCAGUGAAUAGGCCCAAGCGACUGUUUAUCAAAAACACAGGUCUCUGCUAAACCGUAAGGUGAUGUAUAGGGGCUGACGCCUGCCCGGUGCUGGAAGGUUAAGAGGAGUGGUUAGCUUCUGCGAAGCUACGAAUCGAAGCCCCCAGUAAACGGCGGCCGUAACUAUAACGGUCCUAAGGUAGCGAAAUUCCUUGUCGGGUAAGUUCCGACCCGCACGAAAGGCGUAACGAUUUGGGCACUGUCUCAACGAGAGACUCGGUGAAAUCAUAGUACCUGUGAAGAUGCAGGUUACCCGCGACAGGACGGAAAGACCCCGUGGAGCUUUACUGUAGCCUGAUAUUGAAAUUCGGCACAGCUUGUACAGGAUAGGUAGGAGCCUUUGAAACGUGAGCGCUAGCUUACGUGGAGGCGCUGGUGGGAUACUACCCUAGCUGUGUUGGCUUUCUAACCCGCACCACUUAUCGUGGUGGGAGACAGUGUCAGGCGGGCAGUUUGACUGGGGCGGUCGCCUCCUAAAAGGUAACGGAGGCGCUCAAAGGUUCCCUCAGAAUGGUUGGAAAUCAUUCAUAGAGUGUAAAGGCAUAAGGGAGCUUGACUGCGAGACCUACAAGUCGAGCAGGGUCGAAAGACGGACUUAGUGAUCCGGUGGUUCCGCAUGGAAGGGCCAUCGCUCAACGGAUAAAAGCUACCCCGGGGAUAACAGGCUUAUCUCCCCCAAGAGUUCACAUCGACGGGGAGGUUUGGCACCUCGAUGUCGGCUCAUCCGCAUCCUGGGGGCUGUAGUCGGUCCCAAGGGUUGGGCUGUUCGCCCAUUAAAGCGGUACGCGAGCUGGGUUCAGAACGUCGUGAGACAGUUCGGUCCCUAUCCGUCGUGGGCGUAGGAAAUUUGAGAGGAGCUGUCCUUAGUACGAGAGGACCGGGAUGGACAUACCUCUGGUGUACCAGUUGUCGUGCCAACGGCAUAGCUGGGUAGCUAUGUGUGGACGGGAUAAGUGCUGAAAGCAUCUAAGCAUGAAGCCCCCCUCAAGAUGAGAUUUCCCAACUUCGGUUAUAAGAUCCCUCAAAGAUGAUGAGGUUAAUAGGUUCGAGGUGGAAGCAUGGUGACAUGUGGAGCUGACGAAUACUAAUCGAUCGAAGACUUAAUCAA
rnacentral:rRNA from 1 species